UACGUAGGUGGCGAGCGUUGUCCGGAUUUACUGGGCGUAAAGGGAGCGUAGGCGGACUUUUAAGUGAGAUGUGAAAUACUCGGGCUCAACUUGAGUGCUGCAUUUCAAACUGGGAGUCUAGAGUGCAGGAGAGGAGAAUGGAAUUCCUAGUGUAGCGGUGAAAUGCGUAGAGAUUAGGAAGAACACCAGUGGCGAAGGCGAUUCUCUGGUCUGUAACUGACGCUGAGGCUCGAAAGCGUGGGGAGCAAACAGG
rnacentral:rRNA from 1 species